GACGAACGCUGGCGGCGUGCUUAACACAUGCAAGUCGAACGAUGAAGCCUAGCUUGCUAGGUGGAUUAGUGGCGAACGGGUGAGUAAUACGUGAGUGACCUACCUUUGACUCUGGGAUAAGCCUGGGAAACUGGGUCUAAUACCGGAUACGACCAAUCUCCGCAUGGGGUGUUGGUGGAAAGCGUUAUGGAGUGGUUUUAGAUGGGCUCACGGCCUAUCAGCUUGUUGGUGAGGUAAUGGCUUACCAAGGCGACGACGGGUAGCCGGCCUGAGAGGGUGACCGGCCACACUGGGACUGAGACACGGCCCAGACUCCUACGGGAGGCAGCAGUGGGGAAUAUUGCACAAUGGGCGCAAGCCUGCUGCAGCGACGCCGCGUGAGGGAUGACGGCCUUCGGGUUGUAAACCUCUGUUAGCAUCGAAGAAGCGA
rnacentral:rRNA from 1 species